CUUGUGUGAAGGAGCCUUUCUUAAUCUUAAUAAACCCUUCUCUGGUUCUCAUCACUGGUGAUCUCACAGGUUUCUGAGAAGAGAUGGUACUGGCUUAAAGUUUUUGCUUUAGCUACAAUCAGAGAUUGGGAUGCUCUAGAAAAGUUCUCAAAAGAAAAGAGACCACCCAUUGGUUUUAGGCCAUUCGUUGAAGCAUGCAUUGAAGCAGAUGAGAAGGGAGAGGCCUUAAAAUAUAUCCCCAAACUUGCUGAUCCUCGAGAGAAAGCAGAGGUAAGACCGAAGCCUACACAAUAUGGAUUCCAUAAACGUCGCCUCUGCUAACUGGUGUUUAAUUACUUCAUUCUACUGUUGUAUUGUAUGAACUAACUUGUGACCAUUUUUCUUUUGUAGUGAUACCUAGAGAAAUUUUUGAAGUCAAUGUGUUGGUUAAAGUGAUUGAAAAUUUCAGGAAAUAGUGUAUAGCUUUAUGUUUUUUCGCAUUGUAGGAAUGAUAAGUAUAUGUAUAUAUAUAUAAAAAUAAAAGUAGAUGAAAAGAGCCACUGUAAAG